rnacentral:lncRNA from 1 species
GGGGUAGAAGUGACUCACUGUGGCACCAGGAGAGCCCUGUAAGAGAGAGAGAAGCGGGCAGGGAGAAGGAAGAAGUCGAACGAGGAUCCACUUUGGCAAAGAUUUGGCCUCACCUGAUCCCACACAGGGGCUCUGGAGCCUAAAUUACACUUCAUCUGCACGGCCACAUACCAAUCGGGGGAAGAAAGCAGAAUCAGUGCUCAAACGUUCCUGCAAAGCGUCUUUGCCUUCUCAGAGAUCUGCAUAAUUCUAGUAAUCUAAUCAUCACUAAACUCUUUGCAGUAAGUUUAGCAAUGGGAGAAACUCAUGGAAGAUUAGGAAGAAGGAGAGGAGAAGCUGGAAUAUUUCUGCUUGCAGUGGUUCUUCUUGCAGGAUACUGACUGAUAUGCCUUCUUAAACUGAGGAUAAAUUUUAUAUUCUUCCACAGUUGGUCAUAGAAAAGUUGGGCAUACCUCAGAGAUAUUGUGGAUUCAGUUCCAAGCCACCACAAUAAGGUUACAGUUAGUCCUGCAGACUCGGGUUUGAAUUCCGACUGCCUCUUCCCAGCUGCAUGACAUUAGGAGAGUGUUAACCACUUUGAAAAUCACUUUCGUCAUCUCUAAAAUGAAACAACACCCACUUUGCAGUGUUGUCCAGAUUAACGGAGUUGAUUGAGAUAAGCCGUGGAGCAGAGUACCUGGC